AAGAUUUUAGGUUAAAUAAACUGUAAGCCUUCAAAGCUUAAAAUAAAAAAUGAUUUUUAAAUCUUG
rnacentral:tRNA from 1 species